UGUUAUGGGUCACACUCCUGCUUCCUCUCUUCCUGCUAUGUCUCCUCCUGCUGGGCGUCCGGACAAGCACACCACGGGCCACUCCCACAUGUGCUCUCUCUCCGCUGCGGGCGUGCCUCCUCGCACCUGCAAACACUCACCAAACUACACACCUGCCUGUGAUGAGCGAGCUGCCUUCAAGAGCAGACGCAGCCUGAGAUCCGACGCGAGAACGUAGCUUCACGUACCCAGUACACCUCCCGCCAUCCUUCCUUGUCGUCGAGUUGUGUGUCUCGUCACCUUGGACCUCCCGUGGAUUUUCCCUUGCCUUCCUGGACAUCGACCUCACGCCUGCCUAACGACCACGAAACCAAGCUCCUGCCCUUGACCAUCUGCCUGCUCCCCGACGUUCGAUUCCGCCUUGCUCCUUGCUGGACUUCCGCCUGGAUCCCAACACGCAUCCUCAACACCCUCUGGCAACCAUACUCAGAUAAGUCUCACACUUCGUCACACUACAUCUCUUUGGUUAAAUACACAUCUCACUCACACACUAAACUGUCAUUAAAUACGCUGACAGCUAACGA